rnacentral:tRNA from 2 species
UCGCGAUCCCCGUCGGUGCGUCGACGGUGGCGACGUCGGCGACGUCGACGCCGUCGGCGACCAGGAGUUCGAGGCCCUUGUCGCGGA